AGCUAACCUCUUCCAGGCUGAGCUGGUGGUGAGAAAGGAACUGAAACUGAUUUGCCCACAGUCCGUCUGGGUGAUUGUUGACCCAGGACUGAAGCACAGAAUCGCUGCGCACCAGCCUGCCUGGGGCACACUGGGCUGAGUCACGACUUCAUCAGGAAUGCAGCUAGUCUGGAAUGCAGCGCAGGGGCACAGGCCUUUAGAAAGGGGAGGCUUUUUUCCUAAACAGAGUGAAAACCUACAUUCAUAAAGCUACAAGAGAUCUUUAAAGAAAAAAAAAAUCACACAUUACAGGUAACUGAACAUGUUAUCUGGAAACAGAAAGCACUGAGUCUCUUCAUUUCUGUUUUGUCUGGGCUCUUUCAGGAAACAAGAGGAUUCAUCUGACUUAACUGGAGAUGGCUCCCUUUCCUAAUUUUUGUUCCAUUCCUGAAGCUUCCGCCCUGCAGGGCUCAGCGUGAGCAGACAGGAACAUGGGAAGAGGCAACCACCCAAGAGGCUUCACCAGAAACAAAGAACAGAGGAGGAAAUACACAGUGUAUUGAGUGCUAGCAGUGAAAGGCCAGAGUUCUGACAGAUAUCUGUGAAAAAACUACUGAGAUGCUAAGAUGCCAUGAAUUGGGAAAGUUUGGGAACCUCAGGAUUAGAGAAAUACAAGUUGUCUCCAUGGGCGAAGAUGGAUUUUAAUGACUUAGGCUCAAUGGUCUUGGUUCUUUGGAAUUUUCUCCCAGUUUCAGAGGAUGCCUGGGUCAUGGCGAAAUGUGGACACUCUGGUGAAUGUGGCCAGAGGAUGUGACUCUCCCUUCAGAUCCAGGAACUGAAGGCUCUUGGCUGAUGAGGACGAUGACUAAGCUCCAGCAGCUGGUGGUGCCAAAGUUGCUUCUACCACCUGUAGACCAAACCCAAAUCUUGCUGGGCUCAGAGGUUCAUACAUGUGCAGUGGCUUAAUCACCGCUCCGCUCAGUCUUCCUUGUUCUAUUGCCCUUGAAGACAAUGUCUCUGACUAGCCCUGGCUUGUCCCACUGAGGGGGCAGUAUGAGGACUGGCGAAACUUACCUGGUCAUAAUUCUGUCACUAAAUAAAGGCCUGUGUGUGCUGCCAUCCA